GGAAUCUUGGACAAUGGGCGCAAGCCUGAUCCAGCCAUGCCGCGUGCGUGAUGACGGCCCUAGGGUUGUACAACUCUUUCGCCGAGGACGAUAAUGACGGUACUCGGAUAAGAAGCUCCGGCUAACUUCGUGCCAGCAGCCGAGGUAAUACGAAGGGGGCUAGCGUUGUUCGGAUUUACUGGGCGUAAAGCGCGUGUAGGCGGGUCGUUAAGUUGGGGGUGAAAUCCCGAGGCUCAACCUCGGAACUGCCUUCAAAACUGGCGACCUGGACUCAAGCAGAGGCAAGUGGAAUUGCGAGUGUAGAGGUGAAAUUCGUAGAUAUUCGCAGGAACACCAGUGGCGAAGGCGACUUGCUGGGCUUGUAGUGACGCUGAGACGCGAAAGCGUGGGGAGCAAA
rnacentral:rRNA from 1 species